CUCCAAAAAUACCCCACAGCUAAGUGAACCAACGUAAUGUUGGCAUGCACAACUGGAGCUUGUUUAACAUUUCUUUCAACUAUUUAUGGGGAGGAUGGAACCUGGUAUAUAUGCAAGUGAGAAAGCUAAAAUUUUUUGAUCUUAAGAAAUCCGAUUGAUGGAACAAAACCGACGGGUAAGGCGUAGUUAAUUAAGCGAAGAAGGAUGGCUUCGGCGAACUGGUUGAUCGCUUGGCAGUUGGUUCUACUGGUGGGAGCGAUAGCAGUCAGGGCCUUAGUUAGGAGUAAUCCGUGUAUUAUGGUCGGUAGCGGCAGUUCUUGUGAUCGAGGCUCUAGUGCGGUUGAGGGAACGAAGAAGUUGGGGAGGACGUCCAGAGUUUGGUAACUGGCUCGCGGUCCAUAGUUGCGACUGCUUGAGAAGUCGGGAAUCAAAUUUAGAGUGACCAGACCAUUCCAUAAUUGCCGACUUACUUCUUCGGUGUAAAAAUCUGUGACGUUGCUCUGUCAGCGGUAACUUCUAAAGCACCAUUUGGGUCCUGACAAUUGAGAGGGAUCUCAACUAACCAAAGGUAUGGUUCAGGUUCAAGGCUUUCGUUUCUGCAAAAUGAAUUCUUACCUUUAAAGCACCAUCUCCAUCUCAUAGUUUCCUGGGCCUGAAAAGUCACUCGCAGUCCUCGGUGUGAAGGCAAGGUACCUCUAGCUGAUUAUCCUGAAGCAUGCUCAACUUCAUCGUCAUAUUUAGGUGGAAAUUUGAUGACUAUGAAAUUAAAAACUCCAGUCCAAUUUCAAAAACGUCAACCAUAAGAUAUCCCACAGAGAAAAAAGUUUGAUGUUAUGUUGUGACAAAAGAACUUUGAGUCCACCUUUAUCCUGGAUUAUUUGCGAACAGGCAUGAUGCCAAAAAGUACGCUGUUUGUCUAUUAGUUGCAUAUUCUGUAAUCUUAACUCCUAAUUUUGAUCCCCAAAAAAGUUCUCUAAAUUGUUAUUGGCAUCACCUGUAGCUUGGUUGCUUUCUUCGGUCUCUCUGUUAGGACCUGUAAGUGUGCUGAUUAGUUGUUCCUGUUUUAUAAUUCUUCAACUUUUAACCUGCUUUCUCUAUCUUCUUGAUGAACAUCUUUCAGUAGCAAAAAGUAAGAAUUGUUUUUGCUUGUUCUUA